GCUUUUUUAUUUAUCAUCUUUUUUUUUUUCUUUUUUUUUUUUUAUUUUUUGUGGUAAUUUGUCACCAUAGUCGGUACCAUUGGAUUCGAUAGUCCUCUGGUUGUAUUUAGUAAGUGGUACGUAAUCGAGAUUCAUUGGUUCGCUCUUUUUUAUUUCUUUAUUUUUUUGAAAAAAAAUAAAGUAAAAAGUAG
rnacentral:ribozyme from 12 species